GACGGCCUCUCUCAUUGGCCGAUUCGUAAGGGACUGUUCGGUCAUUUGUUGCCAUAACAACCCAUUCAGGGAGGCCAGUGGGCCCGGGGGAGGCUAUUCCCGAGGCCCAACCCAACCGAUUUAAGGCUAGCUCUCAGCGGCCGGCUCUUCGACCCUCCCUCCGCAUCGCUCCGGCCGCUGAGGCGCUCUGUCAAUCACCAGCCCUUCCGGCAGCCAGGCGGCCGCAGCGGAAAGCCAGGGCUGAACCCAGAAGGGGCGCUUGGCGCGCCCCGCCUACCCCUGGCGCGUCCUGCGACUCAGGUGCUCCCGAGAGCCUGGGCGGGCCCCGCUGUCGCGGCCGACCGUCCCCUCCCAGAGCCGAGGGCCAGAGGGAAACGCCGGCUUCACCCGGAAGCUCGGGAAGAGCUAGACUCGGCCCCGGCGCGCCGCUUUCCACUGCCACAGACAAAAAACACCUCAGUUGACUGUCUAGAGUUGAAGCCCUUGAUUUAGAAGGUUUCUAAAGUCCUAUUUGGAGGCUGGAAAUGACGCAAAACACAGAGCAUUCAAGUGCGGAGGAGCUGCCACAGAACACAAAUGAUAGUAUCACUGGAAGAAUAUACCAGAGAAACGGGUGACAGUAAUUGCCCUUGGACAGGGCAACAUGGGAAACAGGGUUGGAUGUGGCUCUGCCAGGCUUGACAGGAAUCAGUUAGGCUUGAUUCCAGGCUGCUGGUUGAAUUCAAGCCUAUGCCACAUAUUUCCUCAUUCUCCUUGGACCAGUGGCUACCUGGGACAUGUUCUUCUCAUGAAGGGUCACCGGAGUCCAGGAGAGUAAACUGAAACAUAAGAUGCCUCUUGAGAUCUCAGCCUGCAACUGGCACACUUGUCAUUUUGGCCCACAUCUCAUUGACCAAACCAAGUUACAAGGCAAAUGCAUCAUAGGUUGGGGUGAGGGGAGAUGUCCUCUGCCUCCUCUAGUAGGAGACACUGAAAAAUUAUAUGGGGAUGAGAGUUGGAUCACUGGCCAGGGAACUAAGAUCUCACAUGCUGCAGAGCGACUAAGCCUGCCUGCCCAACUAGAGAAGCCUGCUACUGCAACA
ensembl:lncRNA